rnacentral:lncRNA from 1 species
AAUCAUACUGACUCCAUAUGGUCACCAUAAAAUGUAAAGGUUUUAAUACCUCAAGGCUGAUCAAAAGUCAACUUCAAAUAUAAAUCAAUCAGAGACUUUUAACAUCUCAAGAUCGAUCAAAGGUCGAGUUUAGAUAUAAGCUGAUCUGAGGCUUUUAACAUCUCGAGACUGAUCAAAGAUCGAGUUUAGAUAUAAGUCGAUCUGAGGCAUUUAACAUCUCGAGGCUGAUUAAAGAUCCAGUAUAAAUAUAAGCCG